AGCUCCAAGAAUACACGGAGGAGGUGGCCCGGGUCGGCGUCGGCGCCAUCCGACGCGGGCCACGGGCCCGCUUCCAAGUGCGUCUGCGCGCCGGCCACCCACGCCGGGUCCUUCAAGUGCCGCUUCCACCGCACCAACUCCCAGGGCCACGGCCGCGGCCAGGGCCAGGGAAGCCGCCCUUCUUCACCCCCUUCACCGGCCGCGGCCAACGCGGUGCCGCGGCACCCGGCCUCGCCGUCCUCGUCCUCCGGCACCGUCGCGACCCAGUGA
rnacentral:rRNA from 1 species